rnacentral:rRNA from 1 species
GACGAACCGUACGAACGUUAUUCGGAAUUACUGGGCGUAAAGAGUGUGUAGGCGGUGCUGCAAGUCCGGUGUGAAAUCUCCCGGCUCAACUGGGAGGGUGCGCCGGAAACUGCAGUGCUAGAGGGUGGGAGAGGUAAGCGGAGUUCCUGGUGUAGCGGUGAAAUGCGUAGAUAUCAGGAGGAACACCUGUGGUGUAGACAGCUUACUGGACCACUUCUGACGCUGAGACACGAAAGCGUGGGUAGCAAACAGG